CAAGUCGCACGAGAAAGUCCUUCGGGAUGAGUAGAGUGGCGCACGGGUGAGUAAUACAUGGGAACGUGCCUCUGAAUGGGGGAUAACUACGGGAAACUGUAGCUAAUACCGCAUAGAAACGAGAGUUUAAAGCUGGCCUCUAUUUAUAAGCUAGUGUUCAGAGAUCGGCCCAUGUCCCAUUAGCUAGUUGGCGGGGUAAAAGCCCACCAAGGCGACGAUGGGUAGCUGGUCUGAGAGGACGAUCAGCCACACUGGAACUGAGACACGGUCCAGACUCCUACGGGAGGCAGCAGUGGGGAAUUUUGCACAAUGGGGGAAACCCUGAUGCAGCAACGCCGCGUGAGUGAAGAAGGCCUUUGGGUUGUAAAGCUCUUUCGGCUGAGAAGAAGGGCUGUAUGGCUAAUAUCCAUAUAGUUUGACGGUAUCAGAAGAAGAAGCACCUGCUAACUUCGUGCCAGCAGCAGCGGUAAUACGAAGGGUGCAAGCGUUGUUCGGAAUUACUGGGCGUAAAGGGCGCGUAGGCGGGUUUGUAAGUCGAAUGUGAAAUCCCCGGGCUUAACCUGGGACGUGCAUUCGAUACUGCUGAUCUUGAAUGCUUGAGAGGGUGGUGGAAUUCCUAGUGUAGAAGUGAAAUUCGUAGAUAUUAGGAGGAACACCGGAGGCGAAGGCGGCCACCUGGCAAGACAUUGACGCUAAGGCGCGAAAGUGCGGGGAGCAAACAGGAUUAGAUACCCUGGUAGUCCGCACCAUAAACGAUGGAUACUAGAUGUUUGGAGAAUUAACCCUCUGAGUAUCAAAGUUCACACAUUAAGUAUCCCGCCUGGGGAGUACGGCCGCAAGGCUGAAACUCAAAGGAAUUGACGG
rnacentral:rRNA from 1 species